GGUGUUUGGAGGCUGGUUGAUGCUCUGUGCAGUCUGAAUCCUCUCCGUCAAGAUAACGCCACCUGCUGGCAGGAGCAGCAGCUGGACUCUGCCUUCCGCCAGUAUUCUCUGCGCUGUCUGUUAUCUCAGGAUGUGCUGUUGCAAGAGGAUGUUGAGCUGAUCGAGCUCUUGGAUCCAAGUGUGCUCUCUCUGGGCUCCACUGAUACCGUCUGCCCCAGUGCCAGCACUGCUGUGCCAGCGCCACACUACCUCUCGCCACCCUCUAUAUGGGAUGUGUCGGUUUUGGUCGGGCUGCUAGCUGUCCUGCUCGGCGUGUGCUUGUCGUACCCUGACCACGAGUGGGCUCUGUGGCUGUGCGUUGUCCUGGUGUGUGUUACGUGUGUGUGUCGUGGUCUGUCUCUGUGGCGUAAGGCCGCUCUUCAGCGACGCGUCCAGUCUUUGGCUCUCCAGCUGGAGGGUUUGGUGAACAACAGCCGAGCGCUGACCAGUCUGUCUCGCAAAUCACUGCGACUCAUACAGGAGACAGAAGUCAUCUCACGAGGAUUCACCCUGUAAGUGUCACCACACACA